rnacentral:rRNA from 1 species
GUAGCAGCGGUAGUCGGGUUAGAAUCCCGACGGCCUCACGGACAAGGGUUCCUCGGCAAUGUUCGUCAACCGAGGGUUAGCCGGUCCUCAGUCCUACCGCAGUUCGAGUAGGACGAAUCGGGAAACUGGUUAAUAUUCCAGUGCC